GAAGUAUAAAGUUUAAAAGGAGCUGCUAACUCCUUUAUGGCAGUUAAAUUCUGUUAAUAUUUCU
rnacentral:tRNA from 1 species